GGGCUUGUGGUCUAGUGGUAUGAUUUUCGCUUCGCAUAGUGUCUUUGAUACUCAAUGAACAAGUGAAAGGUCCGGGGUUCGAUCCCCCGUAAGUCCA